rnacentral:lncRNA from 1 species
AACAUGUAGUAUGUUGUGACACUAUCAAGAUUUAAAAUAGUUCUAUAUAAAAAAAAUAUAAUAGCGUUGUUUUUGUUAACCCGGUUAUAGUUGUGGUGGAUAGGCGCAAGAGGUUUAGAGAAUUAAGCAUAUUAGUAUUAGAAUAGUUCUAGGAUAGAAUGACUCUCUGAGAAGUGGGGCGUUACAGUUAAUAUCAAAAUCAAUCAACAACCGGAAUUGUAAGAUGAGUGUUGGUUGAGUUAGGGUCAUAAGGCGGGCAAAAUGCGGCUCUGUUUGGCGAUCAUUGUGGGUGGAGCACGAUUCCCCACAAAAUCGAUCGGCACAAUCGUUGUGGGUGGAACGUGGUUCUCCAUAAGAUCGGUUAAGACUAGUGCCUAGCGAAAUGACUUUUACAUCGUUUGGUACAUAUGAGUGUACUUAAGUCCGAUGAAAAUAUCAAAACUUAAAAAGGGGAGGAAUGUGGUGCUUCUCUACAUUUUGAAAUAAUUUCAUACAAAGAAUAUAAUAAGACUAAUAAUUUUAACCUUUCUAUAGUAUUUUGGAUGAUGAGUAGGUUUAAAAAAUUAUGAGAGCUGAGCUGUUAUUAUUAUUAUUAUUAUUAUUAUUAUUUUUUGA